rnacentral:rRNA from 1 species
UCGAGAAUCUUCGGCAAUGCGCGAAAGCGUGACCGAGCAAUGCCGCGUGCGGGAUGAAGGCCCUCGGGUUGUAAACCGCGAAAGUAAGGCGGAAGGCUCUGUGAAGAGCAGGGUUUGACCAAUUUACAGUAAGGACGGGCUAAGUUCGUGCCAGCAGCCGCGGUAAGACGCACCGUCCAAACGUUAUUCGGACUUAUUGGGCUUAAAGGGUGGGUAGGCGGCGCUGUAAGGCGGGUGUGAAAUCCCACGGCUCAACCGUGGAACUGCGCCCGAUACUGCAGUGCU